CGGAAGGGUGCGUAACGCGUGAGCGACAUGCCGUUGCCGGGACAACCGGUGGAACGCCGACUAAUACCGAAUGUGACAGCGAUCUCGCAUGAGGAUGCUGUGAAAGAUGGCCUCUAUUUAUAAGCUAUCGCUAGAGGAUGGGCCUGCGUCUGAUUAGCUAGUUGGUGAGGUAACGGCCCACCAAGGCGACGAUCAGUAGCCGGUCUGAGAGGAUGAACGGCCACACUGGAACUGAGACACGGUCCAGACUCCUACGGGAGGCAGCAGUGGGGAAUCUUCCGCAAUGGGCGAAAGCCUGACGGAGCAACGCCGCGUGAGUGAAGAAGGCCUUCGGGUCGUAAAGCUCUGUUGUCGGGGGACGAAUGUAGUUACCAUCAACAACCGUAACUAAUGACGGUACCUGACGAGGAAGCCACGGCUAACUACGUG
rnacentral:rRNA from 1 species